UAAGAUCCCUCAAAGAUGAUGAUAAGAUCCCUCAAAGAUGAUGAGGUUAAUAGGUUCGGGGUGUAAGCGCAGUAAUGUGUGUAGCUGACGAAUACUAAUCGAUCGAAGACUUAAUCAA
rnacentral:rRNA from 1 species